UACAGAGGGUGCGAGCGUUAAUCGGAAUUACUGGGCGUAAAGCGCGCGUAGGCGGCUUUGCAAGUCGGGUGUGAAAUCCCCAGGCUCAACCUAGGAAUUGCGUUUGAGACUGGAUAGCUAGAGUGCAGUAGAGGGAAGUGGAAUUUCCGGUGUAGCGGUGAAAUGCGUAGAUAUCGGAAGGAACAUCAGUGGCGAAGGCGACUUCCUGGACUGCUACUGACACUGAGGCACGAAAGCGUGGGGAGCGAACAGG
rnacentral:rRNA from 1 species